AAUUCAACUUGCUUCGACCAAACUUCUCUCUUAUUUAAUAUUUAUUCUUAAAACCAUUAAAAAAGACUACCCGAGAACUACCCUUAUCUUCUUUUAGUACUACACAGGAACCCAUUUAUAGUUUAUAAGUAGUUAUAAACCAACGUACCUUUUGCAUCAUGGUUUAGCAAGAAAUAUUUUAAACUAAUUAACCCCGAAAAUUAAGCGAGCUGCGCUCUUUUUGCUAAGCGCCCCCUUCUCUUGUUACAAAAAGUUUUCCAAAAAAUAGCUCAGAGGCUACAUACCCUCGCGCUAAUUAAUAGCUGGUUGUUCAAUAAUCUUAUAUUAGUAAGACAAGCAAACCUUGCUAUGUUACAAAAUAAAGGAUAAGCUUUAUUUUCUACGUAAUGCCCCCCUUUUCUCUCAAUGGUAGGCUUAAAAGCAGUCACCCAUAAAAAAGUGUUAUAACUUUAUUUUUCUAAAUUAUUUAAUUACAAUACGAACUAAACUGAACUUCUUCUAUCAAUCCACUAUUAUAAAUUUCUGCUAAAAUUAAUACUUUUACUUACCUUUAACCCCCUCUUUAAACCCUACCCCAUAUAAUCUUAUAACUCCAAACUUCAUAAAGGAACUCGGCAAACAAGGAUUUCGACUGUUUAUCAAAAACAUUGCCUCUUGUUACUCUAUAAAAGGUACAUCCUGCCCAGUGACUAAAGUUAAACGGCCGCGGUACCCUGACCGUGCUAAGGUAGCAUAAUCAUUUGCCUCUUAAUUAGUGGCUAGUAUGAAUGGACAAACGAAAAUCCCCCUGUCUCUAUCAAGCCCAUGAAAAUUAAUCCUCAGGUGAAGAAGCCUGAAUUUUGUUAAAAGACAAAAAGACCCUAUUGAGCUUUAUUCUAAUAUUAGAUAACUACAAUACAAAUAAAAUUUUUCCUCUUAUAAGAAUUUUGCUGGGGCAGCAAAGGAACAACCUAAAAUUCCUUUUUCUAAAGACUUAUUAGUCCACUUAAAUGAUCCAUAUUUAUGAUUAACAGAACUAGCUACCAUAGGGAUAACAGGCUAAUUUUUCUCUAGAGCUCAAAUUGACAGAAAAGAUUGGCACCUCGAUGUUGGCUUAGGAUAUCCUUAAGGCGCAGAAGCUUUAAAGGGUAGGUUUGUUCAACCUUUAAAAUCCUACAUGAGCUGAGUUCAGACCGGCGAAAGCCAGGUCAGUUUCUAUCUUUAACCCAACAAUUAGUCAAUAGUACGAAAGGACCUUGAGCUAAAAAAUACUUUUCUUCCACGAAAUCAAUUAAUUCUCUUAUAAUCUUCUAUUUCUUGAAAUUAAAUAGG
rnacentral:rRNA from 1 species